rnacentral:tRNA from 1 species
GGCUUAGUGGUAAAGAAUCUGCCUGCAAUGCAGGAGACCUGGGUUCGAUCCCUG